GCCUACCAAAUCGGCAUAUCGACACAGAUGCGGUAGAAGGCAAGCGAGGCACAGAAGCAGCACAGAAAUGAGGGCGCGCGCGUUUCCAAUCUGGGCAAAUUUGAUUUAAAAGCAUCAACGGAGGCCCGUGGGCCCCUUCAAUGCGCUGCUGUGCUCUAGUUUCAACGAGCGACAAAGAAAGCGAUAAAAAAGGCACAGCACAGCACACACACACACCACAAAUAGAGAUGGAUUAAUGAUGGUCCUAGAACCGAGCGGGGAAAGUGUGACCCGCAAAGUGGCCUGAAUUUUAUUGAAAGCUUUUGCUCUUUCCAGAGUGGUUUCCAUUUCUGAUAAUCGGCUGAAGAAGGAAAAAUCAUCGCAGAAGCGGCGAGUGCAAUAUAAAAAAAAAGUAAAAUCUUCACUAUUUCACCUACUGAUAAACAUCAUAGGAAAACUACUUACAGAAUAGAAAACAAUCGACAUACGGCUCUUUCACCAGAUCAUUUAUUUUCCUUUCUGACUGCUGUGCUAAUUAUUUAUUGGAAAUUACGGCCCCAUCAAAGCGAGGGCAUUCGUAGCGUCGUGUCAAGCUCUUGGCGUGAUACACCGCAUGUCGUACGUUCAAGUCCUAAUCUAACCACAACACAUGAGUCAAAAAUCACAAUACUUUCAACUAGGCAUGGGCAAAACGAUUCUUUUCACCGAACGCGAACGAACUAGUUCGCUCACCAAAAAGAACCGAACGUGAACGACGAUUCUUUCGUUCUUUUUUUCAUGGGGUUUUUAUUCACAAAGAACAUUCGUUAUUUUUUUCAUUUACCCACCAUAGACGCAUACUGUAGCCAAAGAAGUACUCAUUCUGCGGUUGAAACCAAUCAUUUAAAAACAUUAAAUAAAUCAGCCCAUCUGCUGUCUGGUCAACACAAUCUAUCGCAAAACCGACCAAAAACUAGCAUGUAAAAAACUAAUACGAGCAAAAAUGUCUCCAGCAUAUAUUGUACCCUAUGUCUUAUACACACUCAAGGAUUCUAUAAAAAAAAACUACUUAAACAUGGAUAAACAUGAUGAGCGCAAUCAAUUCAGUUCAGUUCAUUCGCGAACAAUGACUAAUGCGUUUGAACGGGCUCGAUCUAUUGAAUUGUAUAGGUAUAAUUUACACACCAACAGAACACAGAUCGAACACCAGUUCGAACGCGUUCGAUGAAUUCAGUUGUGUAGGUACGAUUUACAUACCAACAGAACACAGAUCGAACACUAACCGAUCAGAUCGAACGCGUUCGAUGAAUUCAGUUGUGUAGGUACGAUUUCCACACCAACAGAACACAGAUCGAACACCAGUUCGAACGCGUUCGAUGAAUUCAGUUGUGUAGGUACGAUUUCCACACCAACAGAACACAGAUCGAACACCAGUUCGAACGCGUUCGAUGAAUUCAGUUGUGUAGGUACGAUUUACACACCAACAGAACACAGAUCGAACACCAGUUCGAACGCGUUCGAUAAAUUCAGUCGUAUAGAUACGAUUU